GUAGGUGGCAAGCGUUGUCCGGAAUUAUUGGGCGUAAAGCGCGCGCAGGCGGUUCUUUAAGUCUGAUGUGAAAGCCCACGGCUCAACCGUGGAGGGUCAUUGGAAACUGGAGAACUUGAGUACAGAAGAGGAAAGCGGAAUUCCACGUGUAGCGGUGAAAUGCGUAGAGAUGUGGAGGAACACCAGUGGCGAAGGCGGCUUUCUGGUCUGUGACUGACGCUGAGGCGCGAAAGCGUGGGGAGCAAACAGGAUUAGAUACCCUGGUAGUCCACGCCGUAAACGAUGAGUGCUAAGUGUUAGGGGGGUUUUCCGCCCCCCUUAGUGCUGCAGCUAACGCAUUAAGCACUCCGCCUGGGAGUACGGCCGCAAGGCUG
rnacentral:rRNA from 1 species